GACGUUCCAUGGAACCCACGGUAUUGUUUAAAACUAGAUUCUGAUUGGCUUGCAGGUCAUUCUACAGUGUAAAUUAUAAAUGAAAACGUGCUUUUAUAUCAGUGUUACAGAUUCACAAUACCGAGCGUGUCUCAACCCGUACCGCGCUUUUAUCUGCCUAAAGGUAUCUUCAAGCACGACUGGAUAGGCCUUUUGGAUACGCUUGUCCAAGGCCCAAGACAUAAAGUCUUCUGAAAGCUGUGUAGCAAUCAUUCCAUUGCUGACCCAUAGGAUGGUAAUCACGAUUGAUGAUUGGCUUAAUCUAGAAUCAUGGAUGCCUUUCAUACCUUCUCAUCACAAGUUGGAACUAGUGGUCAACAUUGGGACAAUGCAGCCAUAAUUAACAUGGACCAAUAUUUUCAUGGAGUGAGCAAGACCUGCCAUCAGAGCUCACUGUAGCAGGGAGACAUCCCGUCAUCCUUUUGGCGCCUGACAAAAUGUCCGACUUAGAUAUGUUGAGCAUCCUGCUAUGAUGUCCAUCACCAAGCCGGAACACUCCGAGGCCAACCCUCAGUGCCAGACUGGCAGCCGGCCGGUGGCUGAGCCCGAGACCCCUGCUGUUCACAAUAACAGUGGAGGCUGGCUCAGCUGGGUCUUUGGUAGUGGAAGAGUUAAUAAGAAGGAGGUUCAUCUACCUGAGGACUAAGACAGAUCUAUUGUCCGGGAUCCAACUCUGCACAGAUGGGUUAACAAAACUGAGCCCAAGGCUGAGAACAAGUGUGUACCACCACCUCCACCGAUGGGGACAUAUGGAUAUCAGGGGAACACUGGCAGUGUCCCCGAAGGAGUGAAUCCUUACUCUAUGAAAGCAGCAGUUCUAUGGGGCAGCAUAUACCCUACAAUGCAUUACAAUGAUGGGACCAACUCAAAGCCUCCAAGCCAUGGGCCUGGACUCCUUCCUAGGCAGCUCUCUGGCUUGCUCCCUCCUUCACACUUUGACCUCAUGGCACCAAUGGUUGUGCCACCUGACACUCUACCCUACUGAGGUAUGACUCUGGAAAAUCCUUCCAAAUUGUAUCCAUUCAUCAUUAACUGAGAUUUUUCUUUAACAUAGCAAGUGGCUGAAAUAGCAAGGAUGUUAACUAUUUUUUAUUUUUGUUCAAGAGGCCAUUUGCCCAGAGUGGAUUUGCCAUACAUAGAUUUUUUCAGCUUUAAAAAUCUUCAGCAUAAAAAAGUAUUAAAAGAUGAUCUUUUAAUUAAAUCUCUCCUUUGUGUCCUCAUGUUCACGUUAAUUUGAUGUGUUCUAUCAUCAUUUACAAUGCUUAUUGCUUCUGCAUUUCUUUACAGACAAGUGCAUAUUAUACACAUAUAUUUUAUUUUAGACAUUACAAAAACAUAUUUUUGUGCAUUUUGGAUUUCCUACAUUUACCUGUACAGACAAGUAUAUUUUAUACAUAUCUAUUUUUUUAACAACAUUUUUGUAUGUAUUCCAUAGACAGAACUACAUAUAUUGGAAUCGAACGUUCGCAGAGAUUGUUUUGACUGGAGUGAUGCUUAGGACUUCAUAAAAAUAAAUCUAUCCCGUUUUAUUUUAC